rnacentral:rRNA from 1 species
GGGUUGUGAGGUUAAGCGACCAAGCGUACACGGUGGAUGCCCUGGCAGUCAGAGGCGAUGAAGGACGUGCUAAUCUGCGAUAAGCGCCGGUAAGGUGAUAUGAACCGUUAUAACCGGCGAUUUCCGAAUGGGGAAACCCAGUGCAAUYCGUUGCACUAUCGUUAAGCCAAUACAUAACUUAACGAAGCGAACCGGGGGAACUGAAACAUCUAAGUACCCCGAGGAAAAGAAAUCAACCGAGAUUCCCCCAGUAGCGGCGAGCGAACGGGGAACAGCCCAGAACCAGCAUCAGUUUGUGUGUCAGUGGAAGCGUCUGGAAAGGCGCAGGGUACAGGGUGAUACUCCCGUACACAAAGGCACACCUUCUGUGAGUUCGACGAGUAGGGCGGGACACGUGGUAUCCUGUCUGAAUAUGGGGGGACCA